rnacentral:lncRNA from 1 species
UGAAAAUCAAAGUAGAAGCUCAGUCCCAGAGAACUCUGAGGAUAGCCUGUGAGCUGCAAGUCUGAGGAAGCCGAAAGGAGAAUGAAUCCAUGUUGUCAUCAGGGAUCUUGCAAACUCAAGUGUGAAGACAGAGGCAAUCCUGCAUGGGUCCCAUCAAGAUAAUGGGCACACAAACUGCUUGUGAGGGAGCAGACUGUUUAAUGAAUAAGGAAUUAGGUUACACAGGCACCAUGUUCAAAAGUCAGCUGGCAGAGUUUCAACAACAUCGUCAUCACUAGAACAGUCCUGGGUGUGCAAUCCUAUAAUGCCUGGGCAGGGUGACCAGGUUUAAUGUACCCUUUUACAGCUCAUGGGUAUGGGGCUUAUCACAUGCUUCAGCAAGAGCACCCU